CCCUUUAGAUGUUCUGGGCUGCACGCGCGCUACACUGACGAGCUCAACGAGUUUUCGCGAGCCGCUUCGGCGCGCUCGGAACCUUGGCCGAGAGGUCUGGGUAAACUUUUGAGUGCUCGUCGUGCUGGGGAUAGAUGAUUGCAAUUAUUCGUCUUCAACGAGGAAUUCCUAGUAAGCGCAAGUCAUCAGCUUGCGCUGAUUACGUCCCUGCCCUUUGUACACACCGCCCGUCGCUCCUACCGAUGAAUGAUCCGGUGAAUUCGUAGGAUAGCGAGCAAAUGCCGUCUGGCGACAGACGGUUUGCUUGUCAGAAUACGUGUGAAUCAUGUCAUUUAGAGGAAGGAGAAGUCGUAACA
rnacentral:rRNA from 1 species